GAAUCCCAUGUUACCAUGUGGCAAUGGAUUUGCCCUAUAUAGAAUGGAAGAAGUCCUGUCAAAGAUGGACUGGUGAAGGAAAAGAAGAAAACAGCUCAAAUGUUAUAGAAACAGAAGUUUUUAAUGU